UACGUAGGGUCCGAGCGUUGUCCGGAAUUACUGGGCGUAAAGAGCUCGUAGGUGGUUUGUCGCGUUGUUCGUGAAAACUCACAGCUCAACUGUGGGCGUGCGGGCGAUACGGGCAGACUGGAGUACUGCAGGGGAGACUGGAAUUCCUGGUGUAGCGGUGAAAUGCGCAGAUAUCAGGAAGAACACCCGUGGCUAAGGCGGCUCUCUAGUACGGUACUGACGCUGAGACGCGAAAGCGUGGGGAGCGAACAGG
rnacentral:rRNA from 1 species